UACGGAGGGUGCAAGCGUUAUCCGGAUUCACUGGGUUUAAAGGGUGCGUAGGUGGGUUGAUAAGUCAGUGGUGAAAUCCCCGAGCUUAACUUGGGAACUGCCAUUGAUACUAUUGAUCUUGAAUACCGUGGAGGUCAGCGGAAUAUGUCAUGUAGCGGUGAAAUGCUUAGAUAUGACAUAGAACACCAAUUGCGAAGGCAGCUCACUACACAAAGAUUGACACUGAGGCACGAAAGCGUGGGGAUCAAACAGG
rnacentral:rRNA from 1 species